GGAAUACACCUUUACUUCCCCAUAUUCACUCCCAUGCACAUAAACCCUUAAGUUUACAGUAAAUUAAAUCUAGCCUAGAAUUUUCCCACGUUCGUAGAAAACGACCUUCACGAAAACCAUAAUUACUUUCAUAUAAUUAUUGGUCCUUUCUCAUUUCCAUGGUUCUCCUCAAGUCUCACUCACAGAGCCAUAAAAAAAUCUUUUUGCUUUUCCUUUUUAACGAAAGAUCAUUGCAAUAAAUCAUUUUCUAUCUUUGUCUUGUAAGGUCCCGAUUAAUUUUUUUUUUUUCCCCCUUCUUUGGAAUGGUGCGCACUACUUGUUUAGAUGAACAAAUCCUUUGAAAAAUCUCUGACAGAGCAUAACCCACAAGCUUUUUUCCUCUGAAUUUAAGAUGGAGAGAUCUGGAUAUGGCAGGGAUGGAAUAUAC
rnacentral:misc_RNA from 1 species